UACAGAGGGUGCGAGCGUUAAUCGGAAUUACUGGGCGUAAAGCGUGCGUAGACGGUUAUGUAAGUCAGGUGUGAAAGCCCCGGGCUCAACCUGGGAAUUGCAUUUGAGACUGCAUAGCUAGGGUGCGGAAGAGGGAAGCGGAAUUUCCGGUGUAGCGGUGAAAUGCGUAGAUAUCGAGAGGAACACCUGCGGCGAAGGCGGGUUGCUGGGCCGACACUGACGCUGAUGCGCGAAAGCCAGGGGAGCGAACGGG
rnacentral:rRNA from 1 species